rnacentral:rRNA from 1 species
UACGAAGGGGGCUAGCGUUGUUCGGAAUUACUGGGCGUAAAGCGCGCGCAGGCGGUUUCUUAAGUCUGAUGUGAAAGCCCACGGCUCAACCGUGGAGGGUCAUUGGAAACUGGGGAACUUGAGUGCAGAAGAGAAAAGCGGAAUUCCACGUGUAGCGGUGAAAUGCGUAGAGAUGUGGAGGAACACCAGUGGCGAAGGCGGCUUUUUGGUCUGUAACUGACGCUGAGGCGCGAAAGCGUGGGGAGCAAACAGG